rfam:Streptomyces sp. RSD-27 Contig1936, whole genome shotgun sequence.
GGGGCCUUAGCUCAGUUGGUAGAGCGCUGCUUUUGCAAGGCAGAUGUCAGGAGUUCGAAUCUCCUAGGCUCCA